GUCGCACGAGAAAGGGGAGCAAUCCCUGAGUACAGUGGCGUACGGGUGAGUAACACGUGGAUUAUCUACCUUCUAGUGGGGAAUACCUCUGGGAAACCGGAGACAAUACCGCAUAAGCUCGUGAGAGGAAAGCAGCAAUGCGCUGGAAGAGGAGUCCGCGGCUGAUUAGUUAGUUGGCGGGGUAAUGGCCCACCAAGGCGAAGAUCGGUAGCCGGCCUGAGAGGGCACACGGCCACACUGGCACUGAAACACGGGCCAGACUCCUACGGGAGGCAGCAGUGGGGAAUCUUGCACAAUGGAGGCAACUCUGAUGCAGCGACGCCGCGUGAGCGAUGAAGCCCUUCGGGGUGUAAAGCUCUUUCGACGGGAACGAUUAUGACGGUACCCGAAGAAGAAGCUGCGGCUAACUACGUGCCAGCAGCCGCGGUAAUACGUAGGCAGCGAGCGUUGUUCGGAAUUACUGGGCGUAAAGAGUGUGUAGGCGGUGCUCUAAGUCUGUUGUGAAAUCUCCCGGCUCAACUGGGAGGGUGCGGCGGANACUGGAGUGCUCGAGUGUGGGAGAGGUAAGCGGAAUUCCUGGUGUAGCGGUGAAAUGCGUAGAUAUCAGGAGGAACACCUGUGGUGUAGACAGCUUACUGGACCACGACUGACGCUGAGACACGAAAGCG
rnacentral:rRNA from 1 species